ACUCUAGUCUGACGUUGUGAAAUGACUUGGGAGGUGUAGAAUAAGUGGGAGGCUCUGCCGUCUGUGAAAUACCACUACUCUCAAUGUUGUUUUACUUAUACCAUGAUGUAGCAUCUGUGUGGCCUCGCGGUCGCUCAGUUCUAGUUGUAAACUUGGGCUUUUGCCUGGGUGAGCUACGUGAAGACAUCGUCAGGUUGGGGAGU
rnacentral:ncRNA from 1 species